rnacentral:rRNA from 1 species
ACGGAAGGCAGCAGUGAGGAAUAUUGGUCAAUGGGCGGAAGCCUGAACCAGCCAAGUCGCGUGAAGGAUGAAGGUUUUAUGUAUUGUAAACUUCUUUAGCCAGGGGGCAAUAAGGCGUACGCGUACGCCGAUGAGAGUACCUGGAGAAUAAGGAUCGGCUAACGCCGUGCCAGCAGCCGCGGUAAUACGGAGGAUCCGAGCGUUAUCCGGAUUUAUUGGGUUUAAAGGGUGCGCAGGCGGCUCUCUAAGUCAGUGGUUAAUUCGUGACGCUCAACGUCAUCACGCCAUUGAUACGGGAGAGCUUGAUUGCGGUCGAGGUUUGCGGAAUUCGUCGUGUAGCGGUGAAAUGCAUAGAUAUGACGAAGAACACCGAUUGCGUAGGCAGCAGACCAGGCCGUAAAUGACGCUCAUGCACGAAAGUGCGGGGAUCGAACAGGAUUAGAUACCCUGGUA